GGGGGGAAAAAACGUUAAGAUAGCACGGUGCAAUUUACCUAUAUAAACGUUAUUAUCAAAUGUUUAUUUUUUAUCGAGAUUGCCUAUUUCCGAGUCCAGUCUGUAUUGUCAUGAAAAUGCAGUAUUUACAAUACUAAAAACAUUAAGACUUGAUUAAUAAGUUAACGGAAUAUAGAAAUAAUGAAAAUGCUUCAGCGGGAAUCCCAGUUACGUAAUCGGGAAAUUUAGUCCGGAUUCGGUUUUCAUUUUUAAACGCCGGAAAGAUCUAGAUGUUAUGACGCAGACGACAACAAGGACGCUGUGCCCGAUUGUUCAUUAGAAAUGUUGUACCUGCUAUACAAACAUACACGGACAUUUGAAUUCAAACAUUGGAAAUGGCAUAAAAUAAGCAGUCCAAGAUGAGAAGAAGGCUUUUCAACUUCAAAAAUGGGGACGACUUGUCUUGUGAACAGAACAGCUAAUGCAACAAGAGGCAGAUAUUGAGAUAAUUUAUUUUGUGCCAAUCACUCUUCCAACAACUGAAAUUGAUGCUGUAGAAAAUUUUCGAAGGAUAUGUUUACUGAUUAUGAACAACAGGAUUAUAUCAUCAUGACCAUUGGAAUCUUACAAGGAGAAGUGCAAAUAAAUGAAGGAAUUCAUGUGCAAAAAUUAUAAUAUUGUAAACAGGAGAACAGUCUUAAAUAAUACUAACAGUUAAACAGUUUUGUGAACAAGAGUCCAAGAGCAAGGCAGAGUAAACUUGGAGUGUAUAUAUGUCAACCACAAGUACAUUAGGAACACAUAAUGCUAAUGAAAUAAGAACUAUGGUACACAUUUUGUAUGAUUGUAAAUAUCUCGUCCAAAAAAAUGUAGUUGUUAAAUAAAUAGAAUUGAAAUAACUAAA